rnacentral:rRNA from 1 species
UACGGGGGAUGCGAGCGUUAUCCGGAUUUAUUGGGUUUAAAGGGCGCGUAGGCGGGACGUCAAGUCAGCGGUAAAAGACUGCAGCUAAACUGUAGCACGCCGUUGAAACUGGCGCCCUGGAGACGAGACGAGGGAGGCGGAACAAGUGAAGUAGCGGUGAAAUGCAUAGAUAUCACUUGGAACCCCGAUAGCGAAGGCAGCUUCCCAGGCUCGUUCUGACGCUGAUGCGCGAGAGCGUGGGUAGCGAA